ensembl:lncRNA
AUGACCUGCGAGGUGAUUCAUGGAGGAGCAGCGCGACAUGAUCACCCUGUCGUCUCCUCAGAUUCCCUGCUACUCGUGCUUCCAAGAGAUCGAAUUUAUGCGACUGCACUCACUUCAUUUAUUGGCCCGCCCUGGCGUUGCCCCCGGGGGGGGGGGCUCACUUCCUGUCAGUCUACGUGGGCCAAAGAUUGUAGCUCUGACGAGCCGAACAUAAACAAAAUGAGCAGCGAUGGAAUCAGAGGCCUACGGGAAGCAUCUGGGCCUCGUAAUUGGAAGCAGACGUCGGUCCCUUUUCCUCCCGUGUGACGGCGCACUGAGUCACGAAGGUUCUUAGCUGGUGUUCAUCACGCUGACAUCAGACACCUUCGCUUCACACGCCGAGUCCGGAUCAGAGCAGCAGAACUCGGCCGCAAAAACACCGCGAACAAACACAAAUGCAAACGUGGUUGUUUCAAUUGGACAUAAAAAAAAAAAAGAUAAACGGACCCAAGAAAUCAUAUUUUGACUCAACAGUUAAAUAAAUGAAUUAAAUAUUGUGUUUACUUUGUGAACGGAGGCUCGGGGGAGGAGAAUGUCCCAGAGGUCAACAGGUCAAGCUGUCUUAAUGUCCAUGUGAUCACCAUCAAUCAAUGAAUGUUAUCUGCGUGCGCACGGCCAAUAAAGCCGAUGAAACAAGCGUGGCAUCACCUCACAGCCGUGUGAAGCAAAGUGAAUCCACCUGGACUCCGGAGCACGUCGAUCCUGGAGGCUCCUCAAAGCGAGUGUGUGAUGCGUAACGCCGCCUGCAGUGUGUGUUUUCGCUGAUUAACACACCGAACGCACAACAGCUGCAGCACCACCCGACCCGAGGGACGACGACAACAACAACAACAGCUGAGCGUUUAAUGUGCGAUACGCACGGCGGAUUCACGGCGGUGCGGCGAGAUAAAACACAAGCGUGCGGCCUGUGACCUUUCCCAUGGUGCUCGGCGGUAAACGGGGGAAAGCGAGCGCACUGGGAUGAGUAAUGGGACGCUCGUAGUUUGCCAGCCGGUGAGGCCGGAGAUCACGGAGCGAGGCACAUCCGUCUCCACGGAGACACUCCCCCCCCC